GGGGAGAGGAAGGAGGCGAGGGAGGCGGAAAAAGGCGGAGCGUGUGUCCUUUAAAUGCUGGGAUCCAGACGUGGACUUCGCUCAGCCCGCGCUGUCCGGCGGUUCUGCAGAGCUGGUGAGCGCCCGCCCGGUCCAGGAGUACCCUGAACCCCCGCGGCGCCCCGGGUGGCCCAGCGCCUCGUCCUCCUCCCGCCGAGGUCCCCGCGCGCUGCGCUGCUCUGCGCUGCGCCCCAGCUCUCGGCACCGAAGCCCCGCGGCGUGGCCGAGAUCGGAUCCUUGGAUGCGGAAGGCUGCGCUCCCCCUGCGCGAGAGCCGAGACAGCGAUGGAUGCCCUCAAAAUGUGGCUAGGGGUGGCCUUAGCGCUGGCGGAAUUUGCAGUACUACCUCUUCAUUCCGAAGGUGCUUGUGUCUAUCAGGGUUCGUUGUUGGCGCAUUUUCUGUAAACUGGUAGUUAGAAGCAUCAUGAGGGUGAAGUUUAAUUUGGAGGGGCAUGAAUUCAUCACAGAUCACAAAACUACUUUGAUCAAGAGGAAUAUGGUGCUGUCUCCUUCUCGUGAUGUUAAGAGUGAUAAGCAAGAUCUGGUGUGCAUGGUCUGAGACUCACGUUUCAAAGUUACCCAGCAACUUUUCACCUAGUGGUGUUAGCACUACCAGAGGAAGAAAUGAUACACAGAAAGGCCAAGAAGAAUCUAGGUACAAAGGCCCUGCUGGGUUUCCGCCUACUGUCUCACAUCAGAUCAGACCUUUUGUGUCCCAUCCCAUUUCUGCAUGGCUGUCCUUUUUGUUAACCUAAGUAUAAAAAUGAACAACUUUCUCUUGUCUUCGUGUCUUCACUCUGAAGGCUUCCUGCCAG
rnacentral:lncRNA from 1 species